rnacentral:rRNA from 1 species
CGAAAGCCUGACGGAGCAAGACCGCGUGAGGGAGGAAGGCUCUUGGGUUGUAAACCCCUUUUCUCAGGGAAGAAGCUCUGACGGUACCUGAGGAAUCAGCCUCGGCUAACUCCGUGCCAGCAGCCGCGGUAAUACGGAGGAGGCAAGCGUUAUUCGGAAUUAUUGGGCGUAAAGCGUCCGUAGGGGGCUCGUCAAGUCUGCUGUCAAAGCUCGGAGCUCAACUCCGACCCGGCAGUGGAAACGGGGGAGCUAGAGGGCGGCAGGGGAAGAAGGAAUUCCCGGUGUAGCGGUGAAAUGCGUAGAUAUCGGGAAGAACACCAGAGGCGAAAGCGUUCUGCUGGGCCGCACCUGACCCUGAGGGACGAAAGCCAGGGGAGCG